UACAGAGGGUGCGAGCGUUAAUCGGAAUUACUGGGCGUAAAGCGUGCGUAGACGGUUAUUUAAGUCGGGUGUGAAAGCCCCGGGCUCAACCUGGGAAUUGCAUUCGAGACUGAAUAGCUAGGGUACGGUAGAGGGAAGUGGAAUUUCCGGUGUAGCGGUGAAAUGCGUAGAUAUCGGAAGGAACAUCAGUGGCGAAAGCGACUUCCUGGACCAGUACCGGCGUUCAGGCACGAAAGCGUGGGGAGCAAACAGG
rnacentral:rRNA from 1 species